CUGUAAUUACCAAGAUAGGCCAGAUACUCAACCAAUUUGAUACUAGUACAUUUGAAAGUAGGUUAAUAACUAAUUUUUAAAAUUUCACCGAAAUCACUGACCAAAUAAAUUUUAAUUAGGCUCAUGUAAAGUAUAAACAACCCAAAGGGUUUCUGCUGUAAUUACCAAGAUAGGCCAGAUACUCAACCAAUUUGAUACUAGUACAUUUGAAAGUAGGUUAAUAACUAAUUUUUAAAAUUUCACCGAAAUCACUGACCAAAUAAAUUUUAAUUAGGCUCAUGUAAAGUAUAAACAACCCAAACACACCCUGAACUUAUUCUCAAAGAUGGCUCAUUUGGAUACGACUUGCAUGGUUCUUUGCAGAAGGCAUAAAAGAAGCGGGACAGCUUCACACUGGACUAAUGGGGAGGGCUCGCAAGUGAAG
rnacentral:lncRNA from 1 species